GACGAACGCUGGCGGCGUGCUUAACACAUGCAAGUCGAACGGAGAUAUAUAAAUAGUUUACUAUGAAUAUAUUUUAGUGGCGGACGGGUGAGUAACACGUGGGCAACCUGCCUUAGAGUGGGGGAUAACAACGAGAAAUCGUUGCUAAUACCGCAUGAAAUUAGAUUAUCGCAUGAUAGUUUAAUGAAAGGAGAAAUCCGCUAAAAGAUGGGCCCGCGCCUGAUUAGCUAGUUGGUGAGGUAAAAGCUCACCAAGGCGACGAUCAGUAGCCGAUCUGAGAGGAUGACCGGCCACACUGGAACUGAGACACGGUCCAGACUCCUACGGGAGGCAGCAGUGGGGAAUAUUGCACAAUGGGGGAAACCCUGAUGCAGCAACGCCGCGUGGAGGAAGAAGGUUUUCGGAUUGUAAAACUCCUGUCUUUUGGGACGAUAAUGACGGUACCAAAAGGGAAGCCACGGCUAACUACGUG
rnacentral:rRNA from 1 species